rnacentral:lncRNA from 1 species
AAGGCUCUCAGUGUAGUCAGUGGGGAGGAGUGUUGGAGACUGAGUUUCCCUGCCCUCUGAAGACUUCUUAUCUGUCCUAUUGCUGCCUUCCUGCCUACUGUGGUCAGCAUCCUGAACUUGCUGGCACAGCAAGUCACUCCCUCUUGGAUGGAGCCUGCACUCUGAGAGAUUCCUGUGAUCACUGGAGAUUCAGCACAGUAAGGAAACUGAGGCAAAUAUUUAUGUGACUUGCCCAAGUUCACCUAGCUGCAUAUCUGAGGCCAGACUGGUCCCAGGUCUCCAUUUACAAUGUACAGAUGAUACUUUAAUCAAUGGGAGUUGAUGAGAUAACUAUAGGAAAUAGCUUGAAAGAAGAAAAGACGAUCAAUUGUUAAAUUUUCACAUUUGGCAUUUACACUUUAGAAAUUG